rnacentral:rRNA from 1 species
UACGAAGGGUGCAAGCGUUACUCGGAAUUACUGGGCGUAAAGCGUGCGUAGGCGGUUCGUUAAGUCCGAUGUGAAAGCCCUGGGCUCAACCUGGGAACUGCAUUGGAAACUGGCGGGCUGGAGUGCGGUAGAGGGUGGCGGAAUUCCCGGUGUAGCAGUGAAAUGCGUAGAUAUCGGGAGGAACACCCGUGGCGAAGGCGGCCACCUGGACCAGCACUGACGCUGAGGCACGAAAGCGUGGGGAUCAAAC